GUGUAUUGGUAUUAUGAUGUGUAAUUCGAUUAAUCCAAAUCAGAUUAGAAACUAGUGUAGGAAGAUCUUGUGUAGUGUUUUAAGGAGCCAAUAAGAAGAUCAUGUAGUGAGAAGACUUCACCCCGGAAGCUUAAACAAGUUGAAGGCUCUUUUGUAUGGCAAUACAAAUUACGAAAUUACAACGAGUGAAACGUGUUAGCAUCUUUGAUACACAGCUGCUAUUUGGACCAGCGAUCAUGCAGUUUUGAAGGCUACACGUGGAAAUGGAUACCCUCGAUACGAGAUUUCAACGUGCCAUAAUGCGAUUUGGAGCUGGCUGAUAACUAUUCGACUAAAACUAUAUAAGGAAUAGACAAACGAAUGAAAUAUCA